rnacentral:rRNA from 1 species
UGAGGAAUGAUUCUUCGGAUGAAAGCCUCUUUGACUGAGUGGCGGACGGGUGAGUAACGCGUGGGUAACCUGCCUCACACAGGGGGAUAACAGUUGGAAACGACCGCUAAUACCGCAUAACCCGCUGGCACCGCAUGGUGCUGACGGAAAAGAUUUUAUCGGUGUGAGAUGGACCCGCGUCUGAUUAGCCAGUUGGCAGGGUAACGGCCUACCAAAGCGACGAUCAGUAGCCGGCCUGAGAGGGUGAACGGCCACAUUGGGACUGAGACACGGCCCAAACUCCUACGGGAGGCAGCAGUGGGGAAUAUUGCACAAUGGGGGAAACCCUGAUGCAGCGACGCCGCGUGAGUGAAGAAGUAUUUCGGUAUGUAAAGCUCUAUCAGCAGGGAAGAAAAUGACGGUACCUGACUAAGAAGCCCCGGCUAACUACGUGCCAGCAGCCGCGGUAAUACGUAGGGGGCAAGCGUUAUCCGGAUUUACUGGGUGUAAAGGGAGCGUAGACGGCAGAGCAAGUCAGAAGUGAAAGCCCGCGGCUCAACUGCGGGACUGCUUUUGAAACUGCCCUGCUGGAGUGCAGGAGAGGUAAGCGGAAUUCCUGGUGUAGCGGUGAAAUGCGUAGAUAUCAGGAGGAACACCAGUGGCGAAGGCGGCUUACUGGACUGUAACUGACGUUGAGGCUCGAAAGCGUGNGGAGCAAACAGGAUUAGAUACCCUGGUNGUCCACGCCGUAAACGAUGAAUAUUAGGUGUCGGGGG